rnacentral:rRNA from 1 species
UACGGAGGGAGCUAGCGUUGUUCGGAAUUACUGGGCGUAAAGCGCACGUAGGCGGCGACUCAAGUCAGAGGUGAAAGCCCGGGGCUCAACCCCGGAACUGCCUUUGAAACUAGGUUGCUAGAAUCCUGGAGAGGUGAGUGGAAUUCCGAGUGUAGAGGUGAAAUUCGUAGAUAUUCGGAAGAACACCAGUGGCGAAGGCGACUCACUGGACAGGUAUUGACGCUGAGGUGCGAAAGCGUGGGGAGCAAACAGG